AGUUGAUCACUGGCUCAGGAAGUAAAACUCGUUACUCGGUAGGCCGUAGUUGAACGGGUGCUGAAUACAUCGGAAUCUACUUUUUCGUGGGGGAUAACGUAGGGAAACUUACGCUAAUACCGCAUACGACCUACGGGUGAAAGCAGGGGACCUUCGGGCCUUGCGCGAUUGAAUGAGCCGAUGUCGGAUUAGCUAGUUGGCGGGGUAAAGGCCCACCAAGGCGACUAUCCGUAUCUGGUCUGAGAGGAUGAUCAGCCACACUGGAACUGAGACACGGUCCACACUCCUACGGGAGGCAGCAGUGGGGAAUAUUGGACAAUGGGCGCAAGCCUGAUCCAGCCAUACCGCGUGGGUGAAGAAGGCCUUCGGGUUGUAAAGCCCUUUUGUUGGGAAAAAAAUCCAGCUGGCUAAUACCCGGUUGGGAUGACGGUACCCAAAGAAUAAACACCGGCUAACUUCGUGCCAGCAGCCGCGGUAAUACGAAGGGUGCAAGCGUUACUCGGAAUUACUGGGCGUAAAGCGUGCGUAGGUGGUCGUUUAAGUCCGUUGUGAAAGCCCUGGGCUCAACCUGGGAACUGCAGUGGAUACUGGGCGACUAUAGUGUGGUAGAGGGUAGCGGAAUUCCUGGUGUAGCAUGUAAUGCGUAAGAUCAGAGGAACAUCCUUGGCGAAGGCAGCUACCUGGACCAACACUGACACUGAGGCACGAAAGCGUGAGGAGCAAACAGGAUUAAAUAU
rnacentral:rRNA from 1 species